rnacentral:misc_RNA from 1 species
UAUAAUUAAGUAUUUUAAUCUUAACUUACACCUUUAAUUUCGUACGUUCUACUUUAAAUUUUAAAGGUACUAUAAAUUGUUGCAGAAAAAAUAAGAAUAAAUACUGAAAUUAGAUAUUAAAUAUAUACAUAUGUCAAAGGAAUAAAUAGUAAAAAUAAUCAGUAGAUAAAUCCUAAUCUGUAAGUACGUUAUCUGACCAACACAAAGAUCGGACGAGUUGAAGUAAGUAGUUAUUUAUUGUGGUAGAGCAAGCACAUUUUACUCAAUUAUUUUCGUCUUGCAUCUACUUCAAUUUUCUUACUGUUCUAGAAUUUUAGAUAUAAAUAAGUAAAGUCGGUAUUUAUAAACUUAUAAAUUUUAUUAUUUUUACAUUCUUGCAUUUGGCUAUUAUAAAAUAGUUUAACUGUGUAGUAGAGUUUUUAGUACUUAAUUAGUUUGAAUGUAUUUUGUUAGAGAAAAACUAUACUUACUUAAUAACAAAUUACAGAAACAAUUAGGAAGAUACCCUGUAAUAACUUAUAAAUCUUCUAUGUAUAAGCUGUUGGUUUUCUGAAUAAAUAAAUUAAACAAUAUUAUAGUUGUUUACUUAAUUGCACUUAAUAUGAUUAUGUCCGAAAUAUUGACAUUGGCAAUUUCAUUUACUUUUUACAAGAGUAUAAAUAUGUAGAUAUAAUAUGUUAAGAAAAU